CACAGGUAACAGACACCUUGGACUAUGGUUGGCUGUUAUCUGAAAUUGAUGCAGUCGACUUUGUGGGGGAAAAGAAAACCAUGAACAGGGGCCAGGCAGUGGCCCGGCCAGUUAAGCAUACACAGUACUAUGCACAAGGACCCGUGCAAGGACACAAGUUUGAACUCCUGCUCCCCACCAGCACUGAAGCAAGUCUGCAGGGUUAUCACUGCAAACUCAUCCAUUUUGGAAAGAUGCCGUAUGCCUGGGUACCCCAGUCUCUACAAUGGAGUCAUCUGUAUCACAGGGUUUGACAUACGCAAGAAAAGACACAAAGCCCAGGUUAUCUCUGAGAGGUGUGAGCCUCAUAAAGAAUGAAUGCUGCCCAGUGAAACAUAUUAUGGAACAAAGCAAGGGCCACUCGACAGCUGGCUCGGAGAUGAGCUAAAGGAGGAACAAACCAUUUUCGGCUCUCAGUUUACCAAAGGUGAAUUAAUAAAUGAGUGGGCCAUAUGAAAAAUGGCAAAUCCAUGGGAGUCAUCGAAAAAAAAGGUUUUACUUUAAAUUACUCUUAAGGUUUGGUUUACUCUCAAUGUCUUAUUCAAUACUCAUAGAUAAUAUAGUUCAUUCUUAGA